GAUACUCACUGGCUCCAUCAACUGAAGAAUACCGCUCAUCCAAAUAAUCCUAAACCUCUUUAGCAGUCUCAAAUGGAGUAAAUAGUGAAUGGAUGGAUGGAACUGAAGUGUUGGAGAACCGGGUGAUAAUCUUGGAGUUGUCACUGUCCCAGUCUUCAAGCUUGGAUCGGUACUUGGCAUGAAAGUCAUCAUUAUCUUCAGCGAAAUCGGAAAAGUGGGGUGAUUGUGCAUUUCUUGUGAUAUAUUUUUAGAAUUUCUGGGUUCGAAAGAACCGUUGCAUGGCAAAGGACCAAAGGCGAUAGUUGGAUUCAUCGAGGAUGAUGGAAAUAGGCUGGAAGACUUUCGAUUGGUGCGUGGGCGCGUUGGUUGCACGUGAACUCAUCCUUCUUCUCCUCUGGUGGCGCGUGUCGGCACAUGGAUCUGACAUGCCGAUGAACUAAUAAAGCGUGUGGGCUCGUGUGGGCCCGUGAGGGCUUUGUUGCGAAUUGUUUUUAAUGAUUUGGAAUUGUCUCUUCAAUACGAAAUCAAAGGACGAUUCGGAGAAGAUUUUGACAUGACUUGAGGCCCGACAGUGGCUGGUUUGGUGGUUUUGGACUGGUUUUUGAGCUUUUGAUGGGUUGCAGAGUGUUUAGGCUAUAUCUAAGUAUGAUAGUUGGCGGAUUGUUCUUCGCCAAUGGGUGCCGGAGUAGUGCCAAAGGGUAGCGGAAGAGUUAGGCCAUAGAGCAUGGCUUUGAUACCAUGUUAGAAGAAGUUAAAGAGAGAGAAAUAAUGAGAGAGAGGGGGAAUUUAUGUAUAUUGUAUUCUGUGAGUAAAAUAGUACAGACGAGUCCUCUUUACAUAGAGAAUGAUCAAAAAGUAAUGGUUUACAUUAGGGAUGGCAAUUUCCCCCGUCCCUCUUCCCGCCCCGAUCUAGGUGAAUAUUUUGGGGAUUGGGGAUAAAAAAAAAUUCGGAGACGGGGCGGGGACGAUUUUGUAUAUCUCCCCGCCCCGAUCCCCAAUUCCCGCCCCGAAUUAAGUGCAUAUGUCCAAAAUGUUUGGGCGAAUUGUAUUUGUUAUAAACCUUAGGAAGGUUAAUGUAAUUUACCAAAAAUAAAAUACGUAAUGGUAUUUAUGCAAAUUACAAUGACAAUAGAGGCCAAUCUGGUACUCAAGCACAAUAUAUAUACUCUCCAACCCAUAGAAACCCUAGACCCCAUCCAUUGCGCCGAGUGAAGAGAGAGAGAGAGGUGGAAUCCAGUUCGUGUCUCAGUCCGUACCAGCUUGGAAGUUCCACGAAUCAGCGCCGAUGACCAUUCCAAUGGCGCCGAGGAAGGUCCGGAACGGCGAGCUCAUCGCCUUGGACCACGGUGACGAGGAUGACGACGAGAUGUUGCCGCCGCACGAGAUCGUCGUGAGAGGGUCGGCGAUAUUGCCGAAGACGACCUUCUCGGUGCUCAAAGGCGUCAGGUGGUUGGUAUUCUGCGACGCCACUGUAUGUCUUCGUCUUCAUCUUCAUCAUUGACAUGUCUCUAUUUCUCCAUAUGUUCCCAAACUUAUUUACAAGUAUCUCAGGCGCAUGUGAUUAAUGGGUACCACUGGGGUACCCAUUAAUAGUUACUAAUUGGGCAGAACUUUCUUUUUUAUCAGUGAGCAUGGAUUGAAUUUCUUCCAAUUCUGGUUUAUACCCUCAUUUAAUUUAUUCUCCUUCCUCAUCAAUCCCCUUAUUACAACUGAAGAUCCUAAAAUUCUCGUAAUAUUUAUCGGAUAAUGAGCCAUUAAACGAUACCCCACGCUUGCAGACCUACGUAACCUCAUCCAUGAUCAUCCAAGCACAUAGGGACACAAACAUUCGUUUCACUACACAAUGCAAGCCUAUUGUCUUUAUUUUUGCUUUAUUUCGGUUUCUAUAUCUAGAUCUCGCAUUAAUUAUGAAUUAAUGUCAUCGCUCUCAUAUCUUUUAGUUUUUGAUUACUUUGUGCGGAGCAAACCCUAAUUCACUAGAAAAAAAAUUCGGAGUUCGGAUUCGGUACGGGGAUCCUUGGUCUCCGUGAGGGGCAAGGAUAGGGGAUAUAACAAAAUUCCCGUUGGGGAUCGGGGCGAGGAUCGGGGAUUAAAAAAAUUUCGGGGAUCGGGGACGGGGAUACCAACCUUCGGCCCUGCCCCGCCUCAUUGCCAUCCCUAGUUUAAAUAAGGUAAUGGCAAUAAUAUAAAUGAGGCAAUCGUAUCAAUCAGUAUAUAUUAUGAUAUAUAAUAUAUUCUGAGUAUCAAUUAAGAAAAUAUUCAGAAUAUAUUAUAUAUCAUAAUAUAUUUUGUAUAUAUACAAAAUAUAUGUUAACGGACGGAAACACUAUCAUCGGCGAGCCCUGUCGUCGGAAUCCCAUUGCGGUGGCCGACGUUUAUGAAAAAUAUUCGCCGGUGACCCACUUUGAAGAAAUGCAACCGAUGUUACCUUUUUGUAUUUUUCUUAUUUGGAAACUUUUGCCCGUUAAAUUGGAGCCCACGAGGUAGUGAGCUGGCCAGC
rnacentral:lncRNA from 1 species